rnacentral:rRNA from 1 species
UACGUAGGUGGCAAGCGAUACUCGGAGUCACUAGGCGUAAAGCGCAGGUAGGCGGUUUGGUAAGUCUUUUGUGAAAGCUCCUGGCUCAACUGGGAGAGGUCAAAGGAAACUACCAGGCUAGAGUUUGGUAGGGGAUACUGGAAUUCCUGGUGUAGCGGUGAAAUGCGUAGAUAUCAGGAGGAAUACCUAUGGCGAAGGCAGGUCUCUGGGCCAUUACUGACACUGAGAAGCGAAAGCAUGGGGAGCGAACAGG